rnacentral:rRNA from 1 species
AUUGAACGCUGGCGGCAUGCUUUACACAUGCAAGUCGAACGGAGUGGCGGACGGGUGAGUAAUAUAUCGGAACCUGCCCCGUAGCGGGGGAUAACUACUCGGAAGAGUGGCUAAUACCGCAUACUAUUAGAGCCGCCGAUAUGGGAUUAUCUUGUGUGUGGGGUAACUGCUCACCAAGGCAACGAUCCUUAGCUGGUCUGAGAGGACGACCAGCCACACGGGGACUGAGACACGGCCCAGACGCCUACGGGAGGCAGCAGUGGGGAAUUUUGCACAAUGGGGGAAACCCUGAUGCAGCCAUGCCGCGUGUAGGAUGAAGGCCUUAGGGUUGUAAAGUACUUUUGGCAGGGAAGCGGUACCUGCAGAAGAAGCACCGGCUAACUACGUGCCAGCAGCCGCGGUAAUAC